CGCGCCUUUCCCGUCUCGCUCCCCUCCCAGCCCGCGUCUCCUCCCCCUCGGCUCGUCUGCUCCCUGGCGUGACUCGGCACUCAGCGCUCCGGGACGACACGUCGUGGUCGCCGCUCCCGUCCAGGCCCCGGCCUCCCGCAGCCUCCCUCGGGCCUCUCUCGGGCUCUCUUCUCAAGUUUUGAAGCCGGAAGCGUCGCGGCCGCCCCGCCGGGUUGUCUUGUGAGGAUGGUGGGAGUGAAGCCGGUCGGGAGCGAUCCAGAUUUCCAGCCGGAGCUGAGUGGGGCGGGCUCCAGACUUGCUGUGGUCAAGUUCACCAUGAGAGGGUGUGGACCGUGUUUGAGGAUUGCUCCAGCAUUCAGUUCUAUGAGUAAUAAAUAUCCACAGGCAGUUUUCUUGGAAGUAGAUGUACAUCAGUGCCAGGGAACAGCUGCCACCAACAAUAUAUCAGCGACACCUACAUUUUUGUUUUUUCGAAACAAAGUGAGAAUUGAUCAGUAUCAAGGAGCAGAUGCUGUGGGACUAGAAGAGAAAAUCAAGCAGCAUCUGGAAAAUGAUCCUGGAAGCAAUGAGGACACAGACAUUCCGAAGGGCUACAUGGAUUUAAUGCCUUUUAUUAACAAAGCUGGUUGUGAAUGUCUUAAUGAAAGUGACGAGCAUGGCUUUGACAACUGUUUACGAAAAGACAUGUCCUUCUUGGAAUCUGACUGUGACGAGCAGCUACUUAUUACCGUGGCAUUCAAUCAACCUGUUAAGCUUUAUUCCAUGAAAUUUCAAGGACCAGAUAAUGGUCAGGGUCCAAAAUAUGUAAAAAUUUUUAUCAAUCUACCCCGGUCUAUGGAUUUUGAGGAGGCAGAAAGGAGUGAACCAACUCAAGCUCUGGAGCUGACAGAAGAUGACAUUAAAGAAGACGGCAUUGUUCCUCUUCGUUAUGUUAAAUUUCAGAAUGUUAACAGUGUAACUUUAUUUGUUCAGUCUAAUCAAGGUGAAGAAGAGACAACGAGAAUUUCAUAUUUUACUUUCAUUGGUACUCCAGUCCAGGCAACAAAUAUGAAUGACUUCAAACGACUUUUUUAAUACAACUCAAUGAACUAAACCAGAAGAUUUUUUUUAAUGAAGUAAUACACAGAUAGACUGUCUCCCUGUACCUCCCUUCCUUGCUUCAUUGCUCAUCUGUCACCUGCUCUCACCCUCCCCAUGUCCUUCCUCAGUUGUCGCUGCGAGAUUUCUUCAGCCUCAGCAUCUGGAUCAGCCUUCUUGUUACCUAGAUUGCCUCCACCACCUCCUCCUUCAGAUCUCAUCCCACUCAUGACUCUCAGUUGGCCCUUUAUUUUGCUUGCAAUUAGGUGCCUUAAUUUUCUUACCAUAUUAUGUUGCUCACAAGGCAGUUUUGUUUUUGUUUUUUUAACCUUCUGUUUCUUAUUUAAUUUUGUUCAGUACUUUGAGAAAUAAUUUUGGAGUAAAACUUAAAUUUUUUAAAAUGCUUUCAAGUUUAAUUAGUUGAGUAAUAUUUUCAUCCAUUUUAAAGUUUUAUAUUUUAGGAACAGGAGAGUUGUUUUGGAAACUAAAUAUAAGUUUGUUUUUUUUUUUUUUCAAGCUAGAGCUAGUGUUAUAUACUCCUUAGGUUUUAGUUGCAAAUUGUGAGUUUUCUCCUUGGAGCAUUAGCCACAAAAUCUGUUUGUGGUUGUUUUCUCUCAUGCUUUACCCAUGUGAGCUCAAGUCCAGCUGAAGGAUGUAUGGACUAAACAGGCUGGGUUAAAACACUAAUGCAGAAAGAAGAUCAAUGACUUCUUUACUGACUGAAAGUUUUUAACAUCUGAUUUUGAUGUACCUAGACUUUGGUUUAUCUGAGGUGUAACGUAAAGACUUAAGACAGAAUGAAAGAGCUUUAUGUUUGGGGUAGUUGGCAAAAAAGGAGAAAGCCAUUAGAUUACAAAAGACACUGGAAGACUUACUGCAGUCAGAUUUGCAGCUCCUGGAUAAUUGCUUGAUUCUCUUCGGAAACUGUUCAUCUUCAUUUGUUGCCAUUACCAGUAAAUCAUUGCUUUUAUUCAGAUGGCAUCACUAGUGUUUCUGUUGUAAUCUUGAUACAUGCAGUUGUAAAUAAAAGUCACUACUUUUGCCAAGCUUACAUUUUGUCAUUCUAUAUAAAUGCAUUCUCUCUCUCCUUUUUAUUUGAAUAUUGACUAACUUUUUGUUUUAGAAGAGCUCUGUCUGGAAUCACAUUGGCUAAAAGCUAGUCUGUCUCUAGAGGAACAGAAUGUUAGUGUUUUGAUACAUGGAUUUCAAUAGCUAACCAUGUUCGAGUAAGUACUGACUUGUAUUUUAUCAAAAGACAUUUGGGUAUCUAGGCUUUAUAAAUUUACUCAAAUUAUAAGCAGCCAGUAAUCUUCUGUCACUGGUAGUUAACAGGCCUACAAAUUUUUUGUUUUCCAGGGAGAGUCUUGCUACAUAGCAUAGGCUAGCCUCACCAUUGCUGUUUGUGCCUGCCUCCCAUAUGCUGGGAUCGUAGGCAUGGACCACCAAACCUGGUCUCAUGUCAAGAUUUUAACUCUUUUUGUAUAAACCUAAAAAUUAGAGUCAGCUAUUUUCUUUAAUAAUUAAGGUAUUGAUACUGAAUUCAGACAGUUGGCAAAAUAGAAUGAAUUUAUGGAAAAUUGGAAUUAGUAUCUAAUCUAAUAUUUAUCUAAAUUCACCAAACAUUUACUAUAAAUGUAUAGAUAGAGAACAUGAUUUAAGAUUGAAAAUGAGUUGUUCCAACUAUUUUAUUUGAAGAUCUUUUGCAAAAGGCUGGCUAAACAAAAUAUUUGUUCUUAUGGGCUUUUUUUAACACUUAUAAUUGGACCUUCGACUAAAAUAUUGGUAGAUUUAAUGCUUUAAAUGUUUAUUUUAUGUGUAUAAAAUGUGUUUGGCCUCCCAUGUAUUUAUAUUCAUUUAUAUGUAGUGCCCACCUGAGGCCGGAAGAGCAUCAGAACCCCAAGAACAGGAGUGAGAGCUGCCGUGGAGGUGAUGAGAACUGAACCCAGGUCUCUACAAGGCUGCUGCUCCAGCCCUAUAUACAUUUAAUUUUUAAUUCAGUGUUUUGAAAGCAUAUAUAAGACUAUAGCUUGUAAUUCAGUUUAUGUAUUUGAGGACAUUCUUAUCUAGAAAUAGUGCUGAGAUCUGCCCUUUUGAUGCUAAUGUAUUUCUACAUGGUCAUGAAAAAACUAUGGAAGUUAGUGUUGAAGUAGUCCUCUUUGAAACUUGUGUCAUUAAGUAACUGUGUUCAGUUCAUUUGUAUGUGAGUACAGUAACUGGUCUGUGGUGAUGUCUGUAUUUUAUGUAUUUCAGAGUUUUGUUGACUUAGAUCAAAAGGAAGACAAAAAAUAAAGGUUUAUAAUACUUGUAA